rnacentral:rRNA from 1 species
GACGAACGCUGGCGGCGUGCUUAACACAUGCAAGUCGAACGGAAAGGCCCUGCUUUUGUGUGGUGCUCGAGUGGCGAACGGGUGAGUAACACGUGAGUAACCUGCCCUUGACUUUGGGAUAACUUCAGGAAACUGGGGCUAAUACCGGAUAGGAGCUCCUGCUGCAUGGUGGGGGUUGGAAAGUUUCGGCGGUUGGGGAUGGACUCGCGGCUUAUCAGCUUGUUGGUGGGGUAGUGGCUUACCAAGGCUUUGACGGGUAGCCGGCCUGGGAGGGUGAACGGCCACAUUGGGCCUGAGAUACGGACCAGACUCCUACGGGAGGCAGCAGUGGAGAAUAUGGCACAAUGGGCGGAAGCCUGAUGCAGAAACGCCGCGUGCGGGAUGACGGCCUUCGGGUUGUAAACCGCUUUAGCCUGUGACGAAGCGUGAGUGACGGUAAUGGGUAAAGAAGCACCGGCUAACUACGUG